GAAGGCCUUCGGGUUGUAAACUCCUGUCAGAGGAGAAGAAACCCCGAGUAAUCGGGACUGACGGUAUCCUCAGAGGAAGCCCCGGCUAACUACGUGCCAGCAGCCGCGGUAAUACGUAGGGGGCGAGCGUUGCUCGGAAUUACUGGGCGUAAAGGGUGUGUAGGUGGCUGAGCAAGUCAAAGAUGAAAUCCCGGAGCUCAACUUCGGAAUGGUCUUUGAAACUGUUCAGCUUGAGGAUAGUAAAGGAGAAUGGAAUUCCCGGUGGAGCGGUGAAAUGCGUUGAUAUCGGGGGGAACACCAGAGGCGAAGGCGGUUCUCUAGGCUAUUCCUGACACUGAAACACGAAAGCUAGGGGAGCAAACGGGAUUAGAUACCCCGGUAGUCCUAGCUGUAAACGAUGGGCACUAGAUGUUCCUGCUUUUUUGUGGGA
rnacentral:rRNA from 1 species